GGCGGCAGGAGGAAAAUAGCCGUCGGCAGGAAGAAAAUCGCCGUCGGCUGGAGGAAAACCGUCGUCGGGAGAAAGAAAACAAAGAAAAAAAUAAUUCCGAAAAGAAAAAGAACAAUCAUUAUUUCCAAAUGCGACGCAUCCAAAAACAAAACCUAGAGCUGGA